GAUGAACGCUAGCUACAGGCUUAACACAUGCAAGUCGCGGGGCAGCAUGGGGGUUGCUUGCAAUCCCCGAUGGCGACCGGCGCACGGGUGAGUAACGCGUAUUCAACCUGCCCUUCACCACGGGAUAACCCGGCGAAAGUCGGACUAAUACCGUAUGUUGUCCAUUGACGGCAUCCGAUUUGGACGAAAGGCUUGGCGGUGAGGGAUGGGGAUGCGUCCGAUUAGCCAGACGGCGGGGUAACGGCCCACCGUGGCUACGAUCGGUAGGGGUUCUGAGAGGAAGGUCCCCCACACUGGAACUGAGACACGGUCCAGACUCCUACGGGAGGCAGCAGUGAGGAAUAGUGGUCAAUGGGCGUAAGCCUGAACCAGCCAAGUAGCGUGCAGGAUGACGGCCCUAGGGGUUGUAAACUGCUUUUAUGCGGGGAUAAAGUGGCCCACGUGUGGGCUUUUGCAGGUACCGCAUGAAUAAGGACCGGCUAAUUCCGUG
rnacentral:rRNA from 1 species